rnacentral:rRNA from 1 species
GACGAACGCUGGCGGCGUGCUUAACACAUGCAAGUCGAACGAUGACGACCGAGCUUGCUCGGUCUGAGUAGUGGCGAACGGGUGAGUAACACGUGAGCAACCGGCCCUUCACGCUGGGAUAACCUCGGGAAGUCUGGGCUAAUAGCGGAUAUGAGCUCCUGUGGCAUGGUGGGCGUUGGAAAGUUUAUCGGUGCAGGGUGGGCUCGGGGCGUAUCAGUUUGUUGGUGGGGUAGGGGUAAACCAAGGCUAUGACGGGUAGCCGGCCUGAGAGGGCGACCGGCCACGCUGGGACUGAGCCACGGCCCAGACUACUACGGGAGGCAGCAGUGGGGAAUAUUGCACAAUGGGAGAAAGCCUGAUGCAGCGACGCCGCGUGGGGGAUGACGGCAUUCGGGUUGUAAACCUCUUUCAGCAGGGAAGAAGCGAAAGUGACGGUACCUGCAGAAGAAGCGCCGGCUAACUACGUG